CUCUGUGACUCCUACGGGAGGCAGCAGUGGGGGAAUAUUGCACAAUGGGCGCAAGCCUGAUGCAGCAACGCCGUGUGAGUGAAGAAGGUUUUCGGAUCGUAAAACUCUGUCCUAAGGGAAGAAACAAAUGACGGUACCUUAGGAGGAAGCCCCGGCUAACUACGUGCCAGCAGCCGCGGUAAUACGUAGGGGGCAAGCGUUAUCCGGAAUCACUGGGCGUAAAGGGUGCGUAGGCGGCUUAGCAAGCCAGGGGUGAAAGGCAUUGGCUCAACCAAUGUAAGCCUUUGGUAACUGUUAAGCUUGAGUGCAGGAGAGGUAAGUGGAAUUCCUAGUGUAGAGGUGAAAAUUCGUAGAUAUUAGGAGGAACACCAGUGGCGAAGGCGACUUACUCGGACUGUAAACUGACGCUGAUGCACGAAAGCGUGGGUAGCGAACAGGAUUAGAUACCCUCGGUAG
rnacentral:rRNA from 1 species